AACAGAUAAAGAGGAACACCACUUCUCCCUCCCCCUAUACCCCCCACCCCCCAGGCAGAACUGUCUAGAAAAUGGAGUUAGAUCUGACCAGAGUUGAAGGACAUCUGCAUUGAAGAGCUAAACAAAGGGAAAAUAUAGAUGCCAUCGAAACCCAUCAUUACGUUUGUGAUCUAGAUAAUAAAGUCUGAGAAGUCAAAUGCUUAGGGAAAAUGCCUACAUUGCACUUCUGAAAUUUCAGAAUGUGGCAUGACUGCUGCCUGUACGUGUGAAAAGUCAGGAUGAGAGUUCACAGCAGGUUGAUGGCCUGGAGAUGAAAAGUCUGUCUGAGGACAUUUCAAAGUUGUAAAGGUAUUAUUCUCACAUGGAGUUAUUUCUCAGUGGGUGUGAACAACAGCUCCUCAUCAAGCUGGUGUAGUGCGAAAUAGAGUUUCCUGAGAAAUGAUGUGCAGACAUAUGCAAGAAGCCACAUGCAUGGGACAUGCACAGACUGUGAGCCUCGCAUCCAAGUGCUGGAACAGUUGCCAUGAAUGCAGAAGCCUACAUUGCCAGUGACCAGUGGGAGAACUGGAAUAAAAAGAGGAGUUUGGACCACCCCCAUGACUAUUGGGGUUCAGUGUGUGUGUGAUGACUUUAGGGUCCCUCAAAUGGUAUGAAGUGGGUGUAUUGGCAAUUGACACCUUUCAUGUAGUGGGUAAGAUAUGAUUUGGGGGUCAUUCUUCACCAUAACGGGGCAAUAAAAUGAUAGAAUUAGAGAUCUCAGAGCUCACAGACAUCUCUAGGGACCACCUGGUUUACUUCUUCAACAAGCAACUAAGGGGCUCAUUGGAUAUAGGGCUGGGCCUGAAUCAUGAAGACCUAAGUUGAAAUGUGGCCUCUGACCCUUAUUUAGCUGUGUGACCCUGGGCAAGUUACUUAACCUCUGCCUCAGUUUCUCUAUCUAUAAGAUGGGGAUAAUAAUAGCACUUAUCUCCCAGGAUUGUUUUGAGGAUCAAAUGAGAUGAUGUUUGUAAAAUGGUUAUGCCUGGCAGAUAGUAGAUGCACAAUAAAUAUUUCAGGCAAAUACAAGAUUAUCUUUAUUUUACAGAUGGGGUAACUGAGGUUCACAGUAGUUACAGACCUUUCUUAAAGUCACAUAAUAAAGACCUGCCUUGAUUAUAGCUUCUGACCAUCACAUUCUAUUUUCAGAUUCAUCCCCUCAUACCUUCUUUAUCAACAUAAAAAGGUUAUGGCCCAUGAGCAAAGAUGCUUAUGCUGCUCAUUUUCUUAGGAAGUGUCUGUUAUAAGAGUUUCAAAGAGUUUUCCCUUUAGCCAAGAUGUUAUUAUUUCUGCAGUAAACUCCUUUGAACUCUUCCUCCAAAAGGCUUGAGUGCUGAACAGAGUUCUUUCACAUUAAUAAUAUUCCGCCAUGAUUUGUUUUUCACCACACCUUUCUGAUGGUUGGAAAAUGAGCGAGUGAACAAGAGAAAAAUAAAAAAGCAGAUAUGCAAGUAAGUGGUGGAGCAAGGAUACAGGAGAGAAAAUUAGUAUGGGGAUGGUUAAGGAACCGGCAAAGAAGCAUGGCACAGUGGAAUGUGUCCCAGCUCUGAAGUCAGAGGACAAGGUCCAAAUGCCACUGCUGACUUUACUACCUGUGUCAUGUAAGAUAGUUUACAGCUUCUCUCAGCCUCAGUACAAUGAGGGUAUUGAUCUAGAUGGCCCCCAAGAACCCUUUCCACUCUAGAUCUAUUAUCCUAUGACAAGUGGGAAAUUUCCUAGUCCUACUUGGCUCUACCCAGUGGUAGAACCUUGAUGACUGCUGUGGUAGGAGCAAAUCUUGGAGAUGAAAAGGGGAGUCAGGAUUCUUUUUAACUAUACUUGAGGGUCCAGAGGCAAAGACUGACCAGUAUGCAAAGCCUUGGGAUAAAAUAGGCAGAGAUCAGCUUACUUUUGGGGAGUGGUGUGGUGGGGUAGGGAGAAAGAGUGGGAGAAGGAGAGGCAGAGAGAGAAAGAGACAGAGACAGAAAGGGACACAACGAUAGACAGAAACAGAAAGAUAUACACAGAGACAGAAACAGAGAUGGAGACAUAGAGAGAUAGACAGAUGCAUGCAUACACAUACACAUAGAGAGAGGGAGAGAGACAAAAAGAUAGAAACAGACAGAUACACACACACAGAUUGACAGAGAGAGGGAGAGAGAUUGGCAUCUAUUGUAUCCAAAUAUGUUCUUAUUAACUGAGGAUAUGUGAACACAUUAAAAAUAUAUAUGUAAAUAUAUAUAUAAAACUAAUUAUCAAACAACAAUAUCAUUAAUUUCCUUUGUAAUCCUUUGUAUUUGACUUUGUGCAUUUAAGAUAAUAAGAGGCUUAUAGGUCUUAUGAGAUUACCAAAAGGGUUCAUAACACAAAAAAGGGUAGGAACCCCAGGUUGAACUAUUGAGGCAAUUGACUUACAAGCCAGAGCAUAGGAACAAAGGUAAGGAAGGAUUAAAAAGUGUUAGCAUCCUCAGCCAAUUUACUUCAUUGAUUUUAUUGAUAUUAGCCACUGCAAGUUAGCCAAUAUGGCGUUAACCAACCCAUUCCAUCCACUCUGUCCUCAUCACCAUCUCUUAGAAUCGUUUCCUUCAGGAAACUAAGCUCAAGCAUAAACUUCUAUAUGAAACGUUUCAUGAUCUCCAAUCCCACCCCUCCAACUCCAUGCCAACAUCUGGCACUUCCUCAUAAAACUUACUUUGGAUUAUUUUACAUAUGAAUAUAUAAGACAGUGUUCUCUUUCCUGAAUGACUCCAAGUUCCUUGAGGAUAGAAAUUGUUUUGGUUCUGUCUUUGUUUCCCCAGGACCUAGCCCAGUCCCUGACAGCAAUAGGUAUUUAAUACUUGUUGAUGGUUGGCUGAUGGGAAGCAGCUAGAGCAUAGUAUCUGAAAGCACACAGAGGUUUAUUUUUGUAGCUUGAUGGGUGGGCACCCUGAUCCUCUCCAGAUUUCUUUGGUUUGGUUACAAAAGGUGUGGGACGAGGGAUAUAAUUUGUACAGAAUUCUAAAAGCAGAUAAAUCAAAACUCAGAUUAUUGUGUCCUAUUUCUGAGUUGAUACUAAUUAUUUAGAAGAUGUUGGAAUUACCCAGCAAGAAGAAGCCCAACCUGAAAAGAGCACACCAGGACAAAUCACUUCCCAGGAUUUUUUUAAGGGUUGGUCUUGUCAUGGCUGGGCUCCAGUAGAGGUGGGACUGGCCUGAGCUGAGGGAAUCUGUUCCAGUUUUCAUCUAUCCCCCCUCUCUAAGCCCCCCCAACCCCUCCUUUUUUUAAAUAGUGGUGGGAUCUUGGACUACCACUGACACUGAGUUGGGUGCCAAUUUUCUUGCUGUGCCUUGUCAAAUUGGACAGGAAGACGGCUGUCUUGUGAAAGUGAAAUUGUCACUAAUUGGCCACAAAGGAAAUAUGCAAGUUUUGCCAAAAAAAGACCUUUGCCUUCUGAGGGAUUUAAAUCCUCAGCUGAAACUUUUCCUCUUAUUUAGAAGAGGAACUCAGGCAAGCAAGUUGACAAUUUCUACAAUGAUGAGACCUGGGUGGGUGUUCUGGGAGGGGGCCAGUUAUUAUGGCGGAGAGUAGAUCCUCAGGCCUCCCUUUAACCAGUGUGUUGUGUUCAGUUAUAAUAGGUCAGUGAAAAAGUAGCAGCAAAUAAAUCUUGACUUUGUUUUAGUUUUUCCAUUUACGAUAAGGUAGAAUGUUUCAGGUGCAUCCUACAUACCAAAUGAAUGCUUUAUAAAAUGUUUUGUCACUUGUAAUGUUUGGAACUCAAGUUUAUUUUCUUUCCUGUGACAAAAAUGAACUUAGUCAGACUUGGGCAUUGCUUUAUACUGAGAGUGACACCUCUUUAUUUUUGUGACUUGAAUGGACAUCAAAGAGAAUUUUCUGUUCCAUGAAAAAUAUAGUUAAAUCAGUAGCUCCAUUUGCCAAGUAGCAUCUAUGCCAAUGUAUUUUAAUAUAAGUAUCAUAAAUAAAUUUACAAAAUUAGAAAACAAGUCAGAUGCCA